GGCAGAAUGGCCGAGUGGUCUAUGGCGACGGUCUCAAGCGCAUCUGUAUGCACUUUCGCGUCCGAAAAGGAGCGUUCCGUUCACGAAAGUGGCCGGGGUUCGAAUCCCCGUUCUGUCA
rnacentral:tRNA from 1 species